rnacentral:rRNA from 1 species
UACAGAGGUCUCAAGCGUUGUUCGGAUUCAUUGGGCGUAAAGGGUGCGUAGGUGGCGCGCUAAGUCGGGUGUGAAAUGCCGGGGCUCAACCUCGGCACUGCAUUCGAUACUGGCGUGCUUGAGGACUGGAGAGGAGACUGGAAUUCAUGGUGUAGCAGUGAAAUGCGUAGAUAUCAUGAGGAAGACCAGUGGCGAAGGCGGGUCUCUGGACAGUUCCUGACACUGAGGCACGAAGGCCAGGGGAGCAAAC